UACGUAGGUGGCGAGCGUUGUCCGGAAUUACUGGGUGUAAAGGGAGUGUAGGCGGGACUGCAAGUCAGAUGUGAAAUUUAUGGGCUCAACUCAUAACCUGCAUUUGAAACUGUAGUUCUUGAGUGAAGUAGAGGCAAGCGGAAUUCCUAGUGUAGCGGUGAAAUGCGUAGAUAUUAGGAGUAACACCAGUGGCGAAGGCGGCUUGCUGGGCUUUUACUGACGCUGAGGCUCGAAAGCGUGGGGAGCAAACAGG
rnacentral:rRNA from 1 species